AGUGAACGCUGGCGGUAGUCCUAACACAUGCAAGUCGAACGGCAGCACAGUAAGAGCUUGCUCUUACGGGUGGCGAGUGGCGGACGGGUGAGGAAUACAUCGGAAUCUACUUUUUCGUGGGGGAUAACGUAGGGAAACUUACGCUAAUACCGCAUACGACCUACGGGUGAAAGCAGGGGAUCUUCGGACCUUGCGCGAUUGAAUGAGCCGAGGUCGGAUUAGCUAGUUGGCGGGGUAAAGGCCCACCAAGGCGACGAUCCGUAGCUGGUCUGAGAGGAUGAUCAGCCACACUGGAACUGAGACACGGUCCAGACUCCUACGGGAGGCAGCAGUGGGGAAUAUUGGACAAUGGGCGCAAGACUGAUCCAGCCAUACCGCGUGGGUGAAGAAGGCCUUCGGGUUGUAAAGCCCUUUUGUUGGGAAAGAAAAGCAGCAGGUUAAUACCCCGCUGUUCUGACGGUACCCAAAGAAUAAGCACCGGCUAACUUCGUG
rnacentral:rRNA from 1 species